rnacentral:snRNA from 1 species
AACCUUGUGCAGUGGCAACAUCGCAAGCAAUGAAGUUGCAACUGAGCUGCGAUUAUUGCUAGUUGAAAACUAAAACCAAUAUCUCGCCCAGCCUACGGAUUUCGAUCUUUUCGCUGAGGCAAUUUUUUUAGGCCCUAAGUGGGCUGA